GACGAACGCUGGCGGCGUGCUUAACACAUGCAAGUCGAACGGAGAAUUUUACUUCGGUGAAAUUCUUAGUGGCGAACGGGUGAGUAACGCGUAGACAACCUGCCUCUUAGAUGGGGACAACAUCGCGAAAGCGGUGCUAAUACCGAAUGAAGUGGAGCUUCCGCAUGGAAGCAUCACCAAAGGUGGCCUCUAUUUAUAAGCUACCACUGAGAGAUGGGUCUGCGUCUGAUUAGCUAGUUGGGGGGGUAAUGGCCCACCAAGGCGACGAUCAGUGGCCGGUCUGAGAGGAUGAACGGCCACAUUGGGACUGGGAAACGGCCCAAACUCAUACGGGAGGCAGCAGUGGGGAAUCUUCCGCAAUGGACGAAAGUCUGACGGAGCAACGCCGCGUGAGUGAAGAAGGUUUUCGGAUCGUAAAGCUCUGUUGUUUGAGACGAAUGUGCAGACUUUGAAUAAGGGUUUGUAAUGACGGUAUUAAACGAGAAAGCCACGGCUAACUACGUGCCAGCAGCCGCCGUAA
rnacentral:rRNA from 1 species